CCACCGGCAGCUCAAGUGGUAGCCGCUUUUAUUGGGCCUAAAGCGUCCGUAGCCGGUCUGAUAAGUCUCUGGUGAAAUCCCACAGCUUAACUGUGGGAAUUGCUGGAGAUACUAUCAUGACUCGAGGUCGGGAGAGGCUGGAGGUACUCCCAGGGUAGGGGUGAAAUCCUGUAAUCCUGGGAGGACCACCUGUGGCGAAGGCGUCCAGCUGGAACGAACCUGACGGUGAGGGACGAAAGCCAGGGGCGCGAACCGGAUUAGAUACCCGGGUAGUCCUGGCCGUAAACGAUGUGGACUUGGUGUUGGGAUGGCUUCGAGCUGCCCCAGUGCCGAAGGGAAGCUGUUAAGUCCACCGCCUGGGAAGUACGGCCGCAAGGCUGAAACUCAAAGGAAUUGACGGGG
rnacentral:rRNA from 1 species